UGCUGGAGGCCAUCAUGGGGACAGUUGUGAAGACUCUGCUCCUCUUCCUCUGCCUCAUCAUCCUCAUAGUCAUGUACCACAGGAGGAAGGCACUGAUGCCCAAAGGGUCUCAUGAAGGAUGCAAACACACCAUCUCAGGUUAAUCUGUCAGCUCGGCGUAAUGGCCACCUUCUCCUUCUAGUGACCUUGAUAGUUCCUGUGGCCUAAUCUCUUCCCCGGGUCUCUGACCCCACCAACCUCCUGCCUCCAGAUUGCGUUUCCAGAGACAUAGAGUCCACUUUCUGCACAGUUUGAGCAGUGACAU